rnacentral:rRNA from 1 species
UACGGAGGAUCCGAGCGUUAUCCGGAUUUAUUGGGUUUAAAGGGAGCGUAGGUGGAUUGUUAAGUCAGUUGUGAAAGUUUGCGGCUCAACCGUAAAAUUGCAGUUGAAACUGGCAGUCUUGAGUACAGUAGAGGUGGGCGGAAUUCGUGGUGUAGCGGUGAAAUGCAUAGAUAUCACGCAGAACUCCGAUCGCGAAGGCAGCCUACCGGCGCGCUACUGACGCUCAUGCACGAAAGCGUGGGUAUCGAACAGG